rnacentral:tRNA from 1 species
GACCCCAUAGCCCAGGGGUUAGAGUGUUGGUCUUGUAAACCAAGAGUUGCAAGUUCCAGUCUUGCUAGGGCCU